UACGUAGGGGGCGAGCGUUAUCCGGAAUCACUGGGCGUAAAGGGCGUCUAGGCGGUCCAGUAAGUCCUGCGUGAAAGCUCCCGGCUCAACUGGGAGAGCGCGUGGGAGACUGUUGGGCUAGAGACUCGGAGAGGGGUGUGGAAUCCCGGUGGAGUGGUGAAAUGCGUUGAGAUCGGGAGGAACACCAGUGGCGAAGGCGGCACCCUGGCCGAGUUCUGACGCUGAAGCGCGACAGCGUGGGGAGCAAACGGGAUUAGAUACCCGGAG
rnacentral:rRNA from 1 species